rnacentral:sRNA from 1 species
UUGGCCAUGGAGCUCUGUUUCUUCUUGGAGGUCUGCGCUUUCUUCUCCUUGGGCGUGCCCGAUGUGGCGGUUGCUGGACGCGUUCUCACGGUUCUCGUUGUUGCGCUGCCGCCGAGAACGCUUUGCUGUUGGGCUUCUCCGCCUGCGCGUCCGCCUCGCCCCUGGGCGUGUCCGGGCCGACCUUGCCGCCGUCGCGCUGCGUCGCCCUGCUCCUGCUGCCCGUGGAACGGCUCCACUUGGCUAUCCACCUGCCGCGUGCGGCUCUCCACCAGCUCCACCCUCUGGCUCUUGAUCUGGAUCUUCUGGUCGCCCGGCUCCUAGCUGCGGAUCAGGGCCCGCUGGGCGCAGGGUGGCACCCGCGGCUUCUGCGCGCAGUCCGUGUCGCGGCGGACCUUCUCAUAGCACUUGUCCAGGUCCUUCAGGGUCUCCUCCAGCAAAGUCUCCGCGCCGCGAUCCCGGCUAACUCACGCCUCCCCCGCCAUGCGCGGCCGCACCCUCCGGUCUGCAGAGGUGUGGCAUGUGACCGUCUGCGAGCAGGUGUCGCGGGACGCCGGGGCGGGGCGGGGCCGGCCGCCCGAGCUGCAGCCCAGGCCCCCAGCCCCCAGCCCCAGCCCCGGCCCGGCCUCCGGCAUUGCUCCGCGGCCGGAAGCGCAAUGCCCUUCUUACUGUGCUCCAUUGUACCAAUGAACAAGCCAUUCAGAGAUGGAUCCACAAAGAUCUCUGGGGCAACGACCAGGUCCUGCUCUACCUGAUUCUCAGCUUUGGGGACAGAAUUCCCAGAAACAUCUGUGUCCGGAGUUGGUUCCUUCCAGUGGGUUCUUGGUCUUGCUGACUUCAAGAAUGAAGCCGUGGACCUUCACGCUUCAGGCCGAAGAUAGUGAAAAUCCGUGCCAGACUUGGAUUGGAAGAAUGAACCAAGGCUUUGAGUCUCAUCGUCUCAUCUCCGUUUUGAUACGCGUCUCCUUAAGUUUGUAAGCCAAGGAGAGGACUACAGUGAGGAUUGUGGAGGGAAGUGGACCUUAUUGGUCUUUGAGCUCUCACAUCUUUAAAGACUGUUGGUGCUGAGAGAAAAAGUAUCCUCAUCUGGCAGAACUCCCACAGGGUGUGCUCCCCUUGCUAUUCUGCUUUUGUUUUGCAGAAAGCUGCCUUUUUCAAUGUACUCAUUAGGCUUUCAUUGUUUGUUCCUUUUUUACCUUUUUCAUCUUUCACUGUUGAUAUCACAGGUGGCCAUAUCUUUACCAGUGCAGCUGCCAAAUAAGAAAUAAUCUUUUCCACAUUCACUAGCUAGUGAUGGUUGUUGUACUACCAUGAAAUCAGUUUCUUCUUUACUUUUAUUCAGGUUACAAGAUUUCUGGAAGGUUUUAAGAUCAAUUUUAAUUAGUCUUUGUGACUGGUUACUUCAUCCAGGGGACCAAUUUCUCUCUGGAAUAUUAGCCCCACACCCCUGGAGAGCCUGUGCGGCUGCAUCUCCCUCUGGAGGUGGUUCUGGAGUUGGUUCCUUUCGGUGGGUUCCUGGUCUCGCUCACUUCAAGAAUGAAGCCACGGACCUUCACAGUGAGUGUUACAGCUCUUAAAGGUGGCACAGACCCAAAGAGUGAGCAGCAGCAAGAUUCAUUGUGAAGAGGGAAAGAAUACAGCUUCCACGCUGUGGAAAGAGACCCGAGAGGGUUGCUGC